GCUUGGAUGGCUCAGUUGGUUAGAGCGCAGGUCUCAUACAUCGCUAUGACCGUCUCCGGCGGGUAAUCCUGAGGUCAUGAGUUCGAUCCUCAUUCCGAGCA
rnacentral:tRNA from 1 species